AACGCUGGCGGUGCGCCUUAUGCAUGCAAGUCGAGCGAAGCUUUUCAGUAGUUUACUACAGAAAAUGACUGAGCGGCGAACGGGUGAGUAACGCGUGAGCAAUCUACCUUAGUUAUAGGGAUAGCCCGAGGAAACUCGGAUUAAUACCUGAUAUUCUUUAUAUUUCGCAUGGAAUUAAAAGGAAAGGUCAGCCGAACUAAGAUGAGCUCGCGUUCUAUCAGCUAGUUGGUGAGGUAAAAGCUCACCAAGGCUACGACGGAUAGUUGGUCUGAGAGGACGAUCAGCCACACUGGGACUGAGACACGGCCCAGACUCCUACGGGAGGCUGCAGCAGGGAAUAUUGCGCAAUGAGCGAAAGCUUGACGCAGCGACACCGCGUGUGGGAUGACGGAUCUAGGUUUGUAAACCACUUUCAGGAGGGAAGAAAAUGACGGUACCUCCACAAGAAGCCCCGGCCAACUACGUGCC
rnacentral:rRNA from 1 species